GGGACACGUGGUAUCCUGUCUGAAUAUGGGGGGACCAUCCUCCAAGGCUAAAUACUCCUGACUGACCGAUAGUGAACCAGUACCGUGAGGGAAAGGCGAAAAGAACCCCGGCGAGGGGAGUGAAAAAGAACCUGAAACCGUGUACGUACAAGCAGUGGGAGCACGCUUAGGCGUGUGACUGCGUACCUUUUGUAUAAUGGGUCAGCGACUUAUAUUCUGUAGCAAGGUUAACCGAAUAGGGGAGCCGAAGGGAAACCGAGUCUUAACUGGGCGUUAAGUUGCAGGGUAUAGACCCGAAACCCGGUGAUCUAGCCAUGGGCAGGUUGAAGGUUGGGUAACACUAACUGGAGGACCGAACCGACUAAUGUUGAAAAAUUAGCGGAUGACUUGUGGCUGGGGGUGAAAGGCCAAUCAAACCGGGAGAUAGCUGGUUCUCCCCGAAAGCUAUUUAGGUAGCGCCUCGUGAAUUCAUCUCCGGGGGUAGAGCACUGUUUCGGCAAGGGGGUCAUCCCGACUUACCAACCCGAUGCAAACUGCGAAUACCGGAGAAUGUUAUCACGGGAGACACACGGCGGGUGCUAACGUCCGUCGUGAAGAGGGAAACAACCCAGACCGCCAGCUAAGGUCCCAAAGUCAUGGUUAAGUGGGAAACGAUGUGGGAAGGCCCAGACAGCCAGGAUGUUGGCUUAGAAGCAGCCAUCAUUUAAAGAAAGCGUAAUAGCUCACUGGUCGAGUCGGCCUGCGCGGAAGAUGUAACGGGGCUAAACCAUGCACCGAAGCUGCGGCAGCGACGCUGAUGCGUUGUUGGGUAGGGGAGCGUUCUGUAAGCCUGCGAAGGUGUGCUGUGAGGCAUGCUGGAGGUAUCAGAAGUGCGAAU
rnacentral:rRNA from 1 species